rnacentral:rRNA from 1 species
UACGGAGGGUGCAAACGUUGCUCGGAAUUAUUGGGCGUAAAGCGCACGUAGGCGGCCGACUAAGUCGGGUGUGAAAGCCCAGGGCUCAACCCUGGAAGUGCACUCGAAACUGGUCGGCUUGAAUAUGGAAGAGGGUCGCGGAAUUCCCGGUGUAGUGGUGGAAUGCGUAGAGAUCGGGAGGAACACCAGUGGCGAAGGCGGCGACCUGGACCUGUGCUGACGCUGAGGCGCGAAAGCGUGGGGAGCGAUCCGG